rnacentral:sRNA from 1 species
CAUACAGACCCAUAAGCCUGUUGCCUGUGC